GGGCUCCAGCCUGACAUGUUUUGUUCACCACCGUUUGGUCAUUUUUUACCCUUGUGUGAUAAAAUAACAAUAUUGUGCCUAGGAUUAGAGUUUUUAGGUUACUAUCAUCACCUGUUUAGGUGCUGAACAUGUGAAUAUUGAUGCACACAUGUAAGUGACAGGCUACAAGGAGCCCCUCUCUUCGGAGCUGUGGUUUGUUGCAGUGAGGUUAUCCCCAGGACUGCUGCUCUCACCCUGAGUGCUUCCCUAUCCUGUAUGGUUCUGCUGGGGGGAUUUCUGCUGUUGCUGUGAAAUCAGUUGUCUUUGGCUCGAGUAGGUCCAGGUCUCUUCCUGGAGGGUUCAGCUGACUCCUUUCCAUCACAGAAAUGGAUUCAUCCUGCCACCUCCUUUUCUCCUCACCUGCAGUAUUAGCAUAUGUGGUUGUGACAAUGCCAAAACUGCUGUUUGUGUUAAUGGAGCUAGAAAUGAUUUUGUUGGUGUUUUAGAAAAUUGACAUCUUUUUCUAUGGGGUGCCAAUAAGGGGGUCAGUGAACCAGUUUCAUCCCAGCGCAGUUGCUUUUAUGAACUUGGCCCAGGACUUUGCGAGCAGAUUAUUUUUGCGUUCAGAUUCCAUUGAGGAUUUUUGGUUAAUCUUUGGGUGGCUUGUUUAUUUAAAUUAAGCCCUAAUUAAGUUAAGAAGCUUUUUUUGCCAUUUAAUACUGUAUCAGAGUAAAAGAUUACACUGCCGAACCACACGUGCCUUUGUAACACAGCUGUAUCUGAGGUAGUAAAAUGUGCUAUGCUGUUUCUGUUUCAUUUACUGCACAGAAAGCACUUUAUCAGAAAGAGGCACUUUUAUUGUCAGUGUCAUAUGGAGGAAUGGAAGAACUUGAGAGAAUAAGGUUAACUGCCUGUUUCUAUGUAGCUUAUGAUGUUGACAUUUAUUUUCUGUGAAUGGCACAUGUAACAGACUCUGGCCUGUAGGCAUAUAUAGAUGAUAACAUGAGUUGGGUAGUAACUGGUAAAGAAAAAAGAAAACAGAUGGCAAGUUCUCUGACUGUAUUUGCUAGUUCAUCGUGGAAUGGGUUAAGGAAAUACUCCAUGCGUAUAGUAAAUGUGGUUUGUGUCUCUCAUUUUCCUGAAUACAAGCAUGCAAUUGGCAGUGACACAGUGGGAGCUGACUGUGGUCACUGAGCUCUGGCUGAGUACAGCAGUGACCUCAGGGACUGAGCAAUGUGAAAUGCCAUAUUACAGGCUGGGACCCUCAGGCACUAGCCUCUUAAUAUAAAAUGCAAAGAUAUCAGUAUCUACAAUAGAGGUGGGUAACUGCUUCCCCUGAGUGUCUUGCACUGGAGAGUCAAUGUGCUUCCUUUGAGUUUAUUGCCUUAUUUAUAUAAUGUUUUCUUGGGAAUCUUCUAAGCAAAAAAAGGGAGAAAGCAAGAGUAUUUCUACCCCAUCAGUCAAAUAUAAUGUGGCUGAUGUCCAUUCAAAACUGUUUAUAUUGCAGGUAUCAAGCUUUUGAAAAUAGUUUACUAGCUAACUAAAGAAGAUAAAGAAUCCUGAAUCUUGAACAACUUCCAGUGAAUGAGUGUCUUGAAGGGGUUGGAAAAGAACUGUUUGAAUUAAUUAUCUAUUACUAAAUAUUUACUCACAUUUAUCCUUCACCAAGACAGGAAUAAAACUGAAGUACUAUAAAGAUUCAGGGAGCAUAUCACACUGGCUAAAUAAACACAUAUAGUAACAUCAUCUGUUGAAGUAAGAAAUGCCAUGUUUUUGCAGGCUUGUUAAGUCAAAAAAAUGUAUUGAAUAGACUGGUGUAUCAAAAACUCAAUGAAUAAACACACUUCAGUACCUAACAAGUAAGAGGGAACAUAUUCAGCACCAGGUUAGACUGCUUGUUUUAGUUGGCUGUUUGUACUUUAAUAUCUGUCGUGGCUUAAUCCAUUUUCUUUCCCACCUGGUUACUUCCCACCCCUCAGGUGUCCUGGUUGUCUGCUGUUAGAACGGAUGCCUGGGAGGCGACAUCCCUCUGAGCACUGCCACAAAGGUUGUUGGAGGACACUGGGAAGCUCAAACAAAGGCAUGUUUGCAAAGAGGCUGUAAGAGACCAAAACUGCGCUGUCAAGUGCUGAAGCAGCAGGCGCUUGAGCUCAGCUGUAUCCCACAGAGCCACACUACCUGUUUGGGAUAGACUCAUCAGAACUGGGACUUACAAUCCAAGGCAUCUGUGUAUACACUGUGCAAGGUAUGCUGUUGCUGGGGUUCCUGAACGCUGUGCUUCACCCUGUGGAGCCAGGAACCGGCUCAAGCAGAGCGGGGGAAAAUGGGUUUGUUAGGAUUUGUGGUAUUUAAAUUGCUGUGUAGUUAAUGUCUGUAACUAUUCAUUUUUGAGACAAUAUACCUCACAUAGAUACAUACAUA